UACAGAGGUCUCAAGCGUUGUUCGGAUUCAUUGGGCGUAAAGGGUGCGUAGGCGGCGCGGUAAGUCGGGUGUGAAAUCUCGGAGCUUAACUCCGAAACUGCAUUCGAUACUGCCGUGCUUGAGGACUGGAGAGGAGACUGGAAUUUACGGUGUAGCGGUGAAAUGCGUAGAUAUCUGGAGGAAUACCGGUGGCGAAGGCGGCAUCCUGGACCGAGAUUGACGCUGAUGAGCGAAAGCUAGGGGAGCAAACGGG
rnacentral:rRNA from 1 species